UACAGAGGGUGCAAGCGUUGUUCGGAAUUAUUGGGCGUAAAGGGCGUGUAGGCGGUUUGCUAAGUCUUCUGUGAAAUCUACGGGCUCAGCCUGUAACGUGCAGAGGAAACUGACAGACUUGAGUGUCGGAGAGGAUAGUGGAAUUCCCGGUGUAGAGGUGAAAUUCGUAGAGAUCGGGAGGAACACCAGUGGCGAAGGCGACUAUCUGGCUGACAACUGACGCUGAGACUCGAAAGCAUGGGGAGCAAACAGG
rnacentral:rRNA from 1 species